rnacentral:rRNA from 1 species
UACAGAGGGUGCGAGCGUUACUCGGACUUACUUUUCGUAAAGCGCGCGUAUGUGGCUUUGCAAGUCGGGUGUGAAAUCCCCAGGCUUAACCUGGGAACUGCAUUCGAGACUGCAUUGCUAGAGUAUGGGAGAGGGAAGUGGAAUUUCCGGUGUAGCGGUGAAAUGCGUAGAUAUCGGAAGGAACAUCAGUGGCGAAAGCGACUUCCUGGACCAAUACUGACGCUCAUGUGCGAAAGCGUGGGGAGCAAACAGG